rnacentral:rRNA from 1 species
AACGUAGGUGGCAAGCGUUAUCCGGAUUCAUUGGGCGUAAAGAGGGCGCAGGCGGCUUUUCAAGUCAGAUGUAAAAUCUCCCGGCUCAACCGGGAGGGAUCAUUUGAUACUGUUAAGCUAGAGUGCAACAGGGGGAGGUAGAAUUCCCGGUGUAGUGGUGAUAUGCGUAGAUAUCGGGAGGAAUACCAGUGGCGAAGGCGGCCUCCUGGGUUGUAACUGACGCUCAGGCCCGAAGGCGUGGGGAGCAAACAGGAUUAGAUACCCGAGUA